AGCAGUGUGGCUCAGUGGAAAGAGCACAGACUUGGGAGUCAGAUGUCAUGGGUUCAAAUCCCAGCUCUGCCA
rnacentral:tRNA from 1 species